GGAAUGCGGUAGUGUCGAAAACACAAACGAAAUGUUGCAAUGUUAACAAACUGCCAACUUCCGUACAUCCCUCUGGCGAAAUCAGGUGGCAUAAUAUUUAGGUUAAUGAAAUAGUAGAGUUAGCAAUAUUUAGUUUAUUUAAGGCGUGUGUAUGAAUUGGGAGUAAGGAGAAGCAGAAGUAGAGUGAUAGAAGUAGUUAUUGUUAGUGUAGUAAAGAACACAGAAGUAGAGUGAUAGAAGUAGUUAUUGUUAGUGUAGUAAAGAACAGUGAAAUAAAGAUGUGAAAGUGA